GUAUGUUUGUGUUUGUUUGUGUGUCUGUCGACCUGCCAGCACUUUCAUUUGCUUAUCCACGGCGUGGAGGAUUUAGUGCGGCUUUUGGUUGAGCAGCAGACGGAGCUCAUGGCAACCACGAAACAAGCGCUUCUGGCAUUGCUCUUCACGCAGUCUGCUCCAGCGCCGUACCCUCCUCCCUUUCCCCUGUAUGACGAGACGGCGGAGGAUUGGGAUACAUAUGAACAUCGCCUUCAGCAGCAUUUACAGGCAUUUCAUGUUGCCGAUUUGGAGUGUUGCCACCCUGGCUGCCCGCUAAUGCUCGGUUAUGGGUGAGACAUGAACAGGGUGAGUCACUUCACAAAUGCUGUUACGCGCAACACGUAAGAAUUUUGGAAGUGGCCACUGCAAGGGAUGUGUUUCCUUGUGUUCCGGCUUAGAGCAAUGCAGUCAGCCAGGGAGUUGUUUGCCAGCAUGAAAAGAAUGUGCUAUAGUCUGCUGUGGCUGGCAACAGUAAACAGGCCACAGGUAGGGCUUGAUAAUGUAUUAUCCAUGUAUAUAUCACUACUAAAACAUGGAAAAUGAACCGACACUUUUCAGUGACAAUUUGACAAUUCAAGACAAUGCAUGCAUGAUGCUGAGAGCUCUUG